CAAAGACCUUAUGACACCUGGCAGAGGGCAAGGCUGGCUGCCAGCAUCCCUCCUGCCCAGCAGGACCCUCCUGCCAGCCACCCUUCAGAGAAUUACUGCUAAUUGCAGCAAAGAGCUUCCUGCUCAGACUCCUGCCACUAACACACCUUCCUGAGCACUGCAAUCCUCUACCUGGCAGUAAACCCACCUCUCCCUCCUGGCACCACCAGCUGACUGAAUGCAAUAAGGACACGUGAGGCAGGUGGUGCAUUUAAAGCAGUCUUUGUGAAAGCAGAGCCCUUCCCUGACAAAGAUGUGGUAAGAACAGAAUUGUAGUGAGUGUCUACCACCAUGGUAGUGGUGGAUCCCUGAGUGCAUCCCUCCAGCUAAGCAGAACUCACCUGCACGACCCCUCUGCAUUGGGAGCAAGAUCCAGAAUAACCAUCUGUAUGUGUGGGGAGAUGCCUCGAGCUAAUCAUUGUAUGCUACCCCAUGGAGAAGUGUCUUUGAACUCCCAGAUUGUUCCAGUUUUCAGAAGCUCGAGGCAGGAAACAGGUCCGUGGGAUCCCACACCUGGAGCUCUCU